rnacentral:rRNA from 1 species
CUACGGGAGGCAGCAGUAGGGAAUCUUCUGCAAUGGACGAAAGUCUGACGGAGCAACGCCGCGUGAGUGAAGAAGGAUUUCGGUUCGUAAAGCUCUGUUGUUAGGGAAGAAAGGUUGUGUAGUAACUAUACACAAAACAGACGGUACCUAACCAGAAAGCCACGGCUAACUACGUGCCAGCAGCCGCGGUAAU